UGAGUGCUAAGUGUUGGGAGGUUUCCGCCUCUCAGUGCUGCAGCUAACGCAUUAAGCACUCCGCCUGGGGAGUACGACCGCAAGGUUGAAACUCAAAGGAAUUGACGGGGGCCCGCACAAGCGGUGGAGCAUGUGGUUUAAUUCGAAGCAACGCGAAGAACCUUACCAGGUCUUGACAUCUAGUGCAAUCUGUAGAGAUACGGAGUUCCCUUCGGGGACGCUAAGACAGGUGGUGCAUGGCUGUCGUCAG
rnacentral:rRNA from 1 species